UACGUAGGGAGCAAGCGUUGUCCGGAAUCAUUGGGCGUAAAGAGCGCGUAGGUGGCUGCAUAAGUCCGUUGUGAAAGUCAAAGGCUCAACCUUUGAAAGCCGAUGGAUACUGUGGAGCUAGAGUACGGAAGAGGCGAGUGGAAUUCCUGGUGUAGCGGUGAAAUGCGCAGAUAUCAGGAAGAACACCAAUGGCGAAGGCAGCUCUCUGGGACGGUACUGACGCUGAGACGCGAAAGCGUGGGGAGCAAACAGG
rnacentral:rRNA from 1 species